rnacentral:rRNA from 1 species
UACGGGAGGCAGCAGUCGGGAAUUUUGCGCAAUGGACGAAAGUCUGACGCAGCAACGCCGCGUGAGGGAUGAAGGCCUUCGGGUUGUAAACCUCUUUUAUCAGGGAAGAUAAUGACGGUACCUGAUGAAUAAGUCACGGCUAACUAC